AGCUGCGGUCGCGGCCCCACGCUUACCCGUGGCGGUACGCGCCGCACGUCUGCACCCCCCUUUAAACGAGUACCUUCGUUCUCCCUCGGCAGGGCAACCUGCCUUUGGAACCAUACAAAACCUUUUUUUGCAUCUAGCAUUACCUGUUCUGAUACAAACAAUCGUUACAACUUUCAACAAUGGAUCUCUUGGCUCUGGCAUCGAUGAAGAACGCAGCGAAAUGCGAUAAGUAGUGUGAAUUGCAGAAUUCAGUGAAUCAUCGAAUCUUUGAACGCACAUUGCGCCCCUUGGUAUUCCAUGGGGCAUGCCUGUUCGAGCGUCAUCUACACCCUCAAGCUCUGCUUGGUGUUGGGCGUCUGUCCCGCCUCUGCGCGUGGACUCGCCUCAAAAUCAUUGGCAGCGGUCCUUGCCUCCUCUCGCGCAGCACAUUGCGCUUCUCGAGGGGCGUGGGUCGCGUCCACGAAGCAACAUUACCGUCUUUGACCUCGGAUCAGGUAGGGAUACCCGCUGAACUUAAGCAUAUCAAUAAGCGGAGGA
rnacentral:rRNA from 1 species